GGGCCCGCACAAGCGGUGGAGUAUGUGGUUUAAUUCGAUGCAACGCGAAGAACCUUACCAGGGUUUGACAUCCUGCGAAUCUCUUGGAAACAGGAGAGUGCCUUCGGGAACGCAGUGACAGGUGGUGCAUGGCUGUCGUCAGCUCGUGUCGUGAGAUGUUGGGUUAAGUCCCGCAACGAGCGCAACCCACGUCUUUAGUUGCCAGCAUUUAGUUGGGCACUCUAGAGAGACUGCCGGUGAUAAACCGGAGGAAGGUGUGGAUGACGUCAAGUCAUCAUGCCCCUUACACCCUGGGCUACACACGUACUACAAUGGACAAGACAAUGAGUUGCAAACCCGUGAGGGCUAGCCAAUCUAUAAACUUGUUCUAAGUUCGGAUUGUAGGCUGAAACUCGCCUACAUGAAGGUGGAAUCGCUAGUAAUCGCUGGU
rnacentral:rRNA from 1 species